rnacentral:misc_RNA from 1 species
UACGGGGAGUGCAAGUGUUGGCCGGAAUUAUUGGGUUUAAAGCGUGCGUAGGCGGAUCGAUAAGUCAGUGGUGAAAGGCAACGGCUCAACCGUUGAGUUGCCGUUGAUACUGUGAGUCUUGAGUGCACUAGAGGUAAGCGGAAUUUAUGGUGUAGCGGUGAAAUGCAUAGAUACCAUAAAGAACACCAAUAGCGAAGGCAGCUUACUAGAGUGUAACUGACGCUGAGGCACGAAAGCGUGGGGAGCGAACAGG